GAUGAAGAACGUAGCGAAAUGCGAUAUGUAAUGCGAAUUGCAGAAUUCAGUGAGUCAUCGAAUCUUUGAACGCACAUUGCGCCCUGUGGUAUUCCGCAGGGCAUGCCUGUUCGAGCGUCAUUUCAACCCUCAAGCUCUGCUUGGUGUUGGGCCCUGCCCGCUGCGGCCGGCCCUAAAGACAGUGGCGGGGCCGCCUGGCCCUGAGCGUAGUACAUCUCUCGCUCCAGUGCCCGGUGGUAGCCUGCCAGAACCCCAACUCUCGUGGUUGACCUCGGAUCAGGUAGGGAUACCCGCUGAACUUAAGCAUAUCAAUAAGCGGAGGA
rnacentral:misc_RNA from 1 species